AAAACAAUUUCUUAAUUUAUUGUAAAUUCUCCUUUCAUCUGUGCUGCAAUUCCAGUGUUCUGCACAUUAAUAAAUAUACAUUUGUUAAAAAAACAACAACCUCCAGUGUCUAAUCUGCCAUAAAGCUUUUAAAAAGUCAUAAAAAUAGCUUUUAAUUUUUUUUUUUUUGUCAUUAAUACAACUGACCCUCAUUUACUGCAACAAUUCUGAUCAAAAUAAAAACUACCUACAUCUCACUGGGACAAAAUAUACAUACACAGAUGUAAAAACAACUAGUGUGGGUUAUAGACAACGCCUGAGCACACAGCCACGUGCCAGACCCUUAGAACAUUCAAAACCUUUUUCCACCAGAAAAUGUCACACAGUAUGUUGCAUCAUUUUUAAAGGAACAGCAUCCUUCCUCCCUCUCCCCUUCCAGAGGCCUCCUCGAUACGUUUGAAAAUGCAUGAGAAUAUAAGGAAACCAAGAUCACAGUAUGUAUUAUUUCAUCUUUUCCCUCAACUCCUGCAUUUUAUUUAGCCUGAUUUUCUACUUUUUCCCUUUAAUACACACAGUUACACAAGCAAAAGCCAAUGUUUUCCCAAAAGGAAUGCUACACCGAGCAAGCCUUGGUGGCAGAGAGCAGGUCAUGGCCACACCACUGCUGCCCUUUGAGUCACGUAUUCCCACCUCCGGGAGCUGCCAGCAGAGCUUUUGGAUGCCAACUUUUUAACACCUUAUUAUUCCUUUUCUUGCAACCAUUGCAGGAGGGUAAGGAUGGCGGACAGCCCACACUUGACUCUCCUAUACUUGUGAAAACAGUGUAUUUUAUGGGAAACAUGAAACCUUAGGCCUUCCAUGUGCUUUCUGAAACAGCAAGGCGGCCACAGGGCUUUGUCAAAGAGCUGGGCAGUGAAACCUGGGCAUCCUUAAAGACUCACAUUUCUGCUUUGAUUAGCAACAUGUUGAAUCCAUUGAGAAAGAAAUUAACAGUAAAAUCAAACACUGUGCCGGAGGGAGAACUUGCCCCACGGGAGGAGGGCCCUCUUCUGAGCACAUGCAGAGCCAGGCCAAAGGUAAAGCCUACCAUACAAUGACACCACUUCUUUUCUUGGUCUUUUAGUAAGGCAAACUACAGAUUUGACUUCUUCCAGACAAGGACUGUGUUGAAAUCUUAGACAAAGAUACGACUUAUUUUUAGUCCUGAAGUUCAGUUGCUGAACAUUUCAAUGCACUUGAGAGAAGAGGUCAAAACACCAAGAAAUGAAAAAACAAAACAUUUCUUCUGAGUUUUAGAAGAGGUUACGAAGAAGACAUACUGUGUCCUUAAAGUGUUCCAAAACCUGUCAACAGAACUUAUAAAUUACAGCCAUGGAUGUCCAUGUAAUCAUUACCAAAUUACUUUGAAAACUGCACUGCCUUAAGGUGGCUUCCAUGCAAACCUCACUUUAUCAAAUGCCAAAUUCAAGUAAAAUUGUGCAAUAUUCAUAUAAAAAAUAUCAAAACCUCUUUUAAUUGAUUUCCUAUUAUCAAAUUCAGAUCAGUAUAAAUGUAAAAUAUACAAAGGGACUUUUUCUUUAGCAACACCAUACAAAAUAUAUAAAAGUAUCUACACUUUAUAUAUAUAUAUAUAAAGGAUUUUUUUUCUUAAGAUGACGUGUCCAUAGGGGGAUGGAUAGAGAUGCUGGCAUAGAAACAAAAGGACACUUGGUGGGAUAUUCCUCCCUAGAGCCCAGCAAGCCAAAGGGUUCACACUGUAGCUGGAGAAAACUCCACAAGAGAUGUCCCCUGGUGCUUGUCUUCAGGCUGAUGGAUUGACUUACUGUAAGUCCACCGUGAUAAUAACAUAUAUUUCCUUGGUUCUCCCCAGUAAUAAGCAACCCCUGAAGCACUGUCCACACUGUGAGCAGAUAUCUGUCCCUCACAGUGCAUCCCUGUGGCCAUUUCCAUGUGUUUUGGCAUGGGUUCGUGCCACAGGGAGCGUACCACACAGCGGCCUUACUGCAGGAAUGU
rnacentral:lncRNA from 1 species